rfam:Picea glauca, whole genome shotgun sequence.
GGGAGGGAUCCUUACGGGUGCGAUCAUACCGGAUCCCAUCAGAGCUCUGCAGUUAAGCGCGCUUGGUCUAGAGUAGUACCAGGAUGGGUGACCUCCCGGGAAGUCAUAGUGUUGCACCGU